AUUGAACGCUGGCGGCAGGCUUAACACAUGCAAGUCGAGCGGGGUGAUGGUGCUUGCACUAUCACUUAGCGGCGGACGGGUGAGUAAUGCUCAGGAAUCUGCCUAUUAGUGGGGGACAACAUUUCGAAAGGAAUGCUAAUACCGCAUACGUCCUACGGGAGAAAGCAGGGGAUCUUCGGACCUUGCGCUAAUAGAUGAGCCUAAGUCGGAUUAGCUAGUUGGUGGGGUAAAGGCCUACCAAGGCGACGAUCUGUAGCGGGUCCGAGAGGAUGAUCCGCCACACUGGGACUGAGACACGGCCCAGACUCCUACGGGAGGCAGCAGUGGGGAAUAUUGGACAAUGGGCGGAAGCCUGAUCUAGCCAUGCCGCGUGUGUGAAGAAGGCCUUAUGGUUGUAAAGCACUUUAAGCGAGGAGGAGGCUACUUUAGUUAAUACCUAGAGAUAGUGGACGUUACUCGCAGAAUAAGCACCGGCUAACUCUGUGCCAGCCGCCGCCGUAACAC
rnacentral:rRNA from 1 species